rnacentral:rRNA from 1 species
AUGGAUUUGGGCUCGAGCUCCGCUGCCGUUCAUGGCCGAAGCCCACUGAGGAUGGAAGACCCUGGUAGUAGUGGACCGGUGCUGCAACGGUACUACAACCCUGGUGUGGUCUUCCAAGAUGCAGCACGGCAUGGCCGGGAUGAAUUUGAUCUGAAUGUUGCUGUUGAGCCAUCAAUUUUCCUUGACGAUGAUAUGCAAAAUGUUGCACAUGAAGAAGAAGAAGAAGAAGAAGGCAUUGAUCUGAAUGAAACUCCGCGAAAUGUUAGUGACGAUUCGUUUCAGCUGAACACCGGUGGUGUAGCUCCAAAUCAAGGCAAUGCUCGUGUGGCUAGUGACAAUGCCAAUGGAAAUGCUGCAACACUUGUUGACGAACCGGAUGAAGAUAUAUCAUCACAGCCAGUUGUCCCUUUUGUUGGAAUGGUUUUUGACAAUGUUGAAGAAGCUCAGCGUGUUUACAAUGAAUAUGCCUCGAAGAUGGGCUUUGGAACUCGCAUUGUGACGUCAAAGUAUAGUAGGAAAAAUAGCUCGGAUAAGAAGCGCAUUCUAAUCUAUAGAGUUUUUGAGUGCAUACACUCACGGAAAAAUCCUUCGAAGAGUGUUGGUGGUAGCAUUUCUGAAGGGGCUGCAACAAAUGAGUGUGAUGAUGUUGAUAUGAGCUAUGCUAGUAACAAAAAGUCUCCAAGCAAACAAGCUGGCAUCUAUAUGGAUGUGAGCGACAAGAGGAAAAGAAAUCGGUUGGAGCGGUAUGAUUGCAAGGCUCAUAUGGGUGUUAACCUCAAAGACGGUAGCUGGGUUGUGACAAUUUUUGAGGCCGAUCACACACACCAGUUGAUGUUGCAAAGGGGGCGUCGGAGAUUUUGCCGCUCUCACAGAAAGAUCCCGGAUGCAGACAUGCAGUACAUCACUUCACUGCACUAUCGCAACAUAUCUACGGCUAAUAUGAUGGGCUUGCUUGGAGAUGCACGGUGUUGCGAUCCAAGGAGUUUGCCGUAUGUGAAGACUGAUGUGACAAAUGCAAGAGCAAAGUUGCGAAGGGGCCUAUCGGAACGUGAUUUGGAGCUGACAAUCGAGUACUUUGAGAGAAGACAAGUGGAGAAUCCAAACUUCUUUUUCUCGAAGCUAGAAGAAGAUGGAGUUGUUAGGGCGCUUUUCUGGGUUGAUGGGAGAACAAGGGCCUUGUAUCCAAAAUGUUGCAAGUGGCACGUCUUCCGGGUUGCAAGAACAAAACUAGGGAGGAUGCUGGGCAAGGAUGAGCCUUUUGCAGAAGCAUUUUAUGGUUGCAUUAAUGGUUCAGACACCGUUGAGGAGUUUGAAGAACGGUGGAAGCAGAUGGUCGAGGUGUUUGGUGUGGCUGAUAAGAAACACCUCAAAAACAUGUGGAACAGCAGGGAGACGUGGGCUCCUGUGUACUUUAGGAAUAAGUUCUUCCCAUUCACAGGAACAACUGGGCGCUCCGAGGGCCUGAAUUCCUACUUCAAGACAUUAAAUCAUCAUGGAGACUCGGUUUGGACCUUUGUGCAGCAGUUUGAGCUUUGCCAGGAGCUGAUGCUUGAUCGUGAAGACAAUGCGGGCUUCAUCAAUGAAGCGACGAGGCCACCACUCUGGGGCAAUUACAACAUUGAGAAGCAGGCUGCUGAUUUCUAUACCAGAGAGGUAUUUUUCAAGUUUCAGAAACUAUUGGCUAAAUCAACAGGCUAUGGGUUGCAAUACCAGCUGCAAGGGAAUGUCGGCUGGUUUCGUCUUGUUGCAAAUGAUGGCAUGAACCCUAAAGUGUACACGGUGCGUGUUGCCCCUGAUGAUCAGACAUACAUGUGCAGUUGCAACAUGUUUGAGAUGUGUGGGCUGAUCUGCCCACAUAUCAUCCGUGUCAUGGUGCACCUGAACGUGCAAGCGAUACCUGCGAAUUACAUGCUUCCAAGAUGGUCUAAGAGAGCAACCGACCUUGCACCUGAACCAGGCGAUGGGCAUAGAGCUAUGCAUUUCGGCGUCCCCACAACAAACACCCUAAAGUUUAACUCUCUCUGUCGGAAGUUUGGGAAACUCGCUUCUGAUGCAUGCUUCAAUGAUGAAGCUUAUAGUUUUGUCUCUGGGCUAAUUGAUCAGGGCAGUGUUGGGGUUGCUGAAAUAAAAGCUAGAGCGAUCGAUGAAGUUGCACGAGGCGAAGAAGCCCAAGGUCAUGCAGCAAAUGAACAACUCUCAGGAGGUCCCAGUACAGGGCAGCAGGAUCCACCCCCCGUAGGACUACGAAACCCACCAAAGUCAGCAAAGAAGGGGAGGCCAAAAGAAAAAGAGAAGCGAAGGAAGCCACUAAUUGAGCUUCGAGAAGAUGAAAUGAAGAAGAAAGCAAAGAAGGACGCAGCGAAAACGAAGAAAGCUCCAAAGCCAAGGGAAAAGAAGACUCCAUGCAAAUAUUGUGAAGAUGAGGAUCACAACGUGAAGAACUGCCAACUCCUUGCCGCUUUUCUUGCUGCGAGUGCGAGCGCGAAAGCUCCAGGUGUCGGGCCAAUCCUUACACUUUAG